rnacentral:rRNA from 1 species
UACGUAGGGCGCAAGCGUUGUCCGGAAUCAUUGGGCGUAAAGCGCGCGUAGGUGGCCCCAUACGUCCGCUGUGAAAGUCAAAGGCUCAACCUUGGAAAGCCGGUGGAUACUGUGGGACUAGAGUACGGAAGAGGCGAGUGGAAUUCCUGGUGUAGCGGUGGAAUGCGUAGAUAUCAGGAGGAACACCGAUGGCGAAGGCAGCUCUCUGGCCUAUAACUGACGCUGAGGUGCGAAAGCGUGGGGAGCAAACGGG